CAGAUCCCUGCAGGCUGGAGUCCUCUCUCUGUCCACAGAACAAGUACGGCGCAGGCAGCAGUGGAGAUGGCUUCCCCACAGCCCCUGCUCCUGUGGUCUGGAGGGAGACCCUCUGAGGCUCUGCUGAGAGAUGGAAGCAUUAGACUUGAUGUGUUUCUUUCUCUUUGCCUCA
rnacentral:sRNA from 1 species